rnacentral:rRNA from 1 species
AUGUGUUUGAUGUUGACUUUCGGGGUUUGUUUGACAUCUAACCUUCUACGUGAGUGGUUGGAUCUUGGUGAGCAUGACUACAGGAUCGUUGGUAGCCAGUUCUCGGAAAGAUCUGGUGUUUGGAAGGGGUGGUUGGGAGCUCUGAAAGGUUCUAUGGCUACUUGUGCAGAGAGCCCCUCUACACCCAAGAAUCCCAUUGUGGAAUUGAUAGACAGCGAUGAUGAUGCGUUUGACAAGAUUGCUAGCAUGGUAAGAGUCACCAGGAGCGCUGCUGCCAAGGGUUUAUCCCCCCUUGCCGGAAUAGUGGCCCGUAGAGCUGGUGCUGCUAGGAAGGAUCCUGCUAUGGAUUUUGGCAAUGUUACAAGCACGAAGCUUGCACCCAAAGCUCCUAUAAAGGUUUCCUCCCCUGUGCAGCAGCUUCACCCUCAUAAAUUCCCUCACCUGGACAAGGCUCGCAAGUUGUAUAAUCUGUUUCUUAGUGAUGAAUGGCGUGAGAAGUAUGCCGAGAAUGUGUUCUCAAUGAUACCUCAGCCUGAUGAUAGCGUAACUAGCUUCACUGGGAGACGCAUCUGGGAACUUUUUUCACCUAGGCAAAUGAUGGUGGGUGAUAUAAUGGACUUCCUCAUUGAUGAUCGGAAGCAAGAUCCCGAGAGAAAUGCUGAUUUCGCAUCUGGAAAAAGGGUAUUGCUGAGUCCAUAUUUCAUCACGGUUGUGCUUGACUGUAUGGUUUACGGUGAUUAA